rnacentral:lncRNA from 1 species
UGCUGCUUCAACUCACCAAUGACUCUGACUCUGGUUUGGGGUUGGCUGAGUUGUGUUGAUCCAUGUUGAUUCCUGCGGAUCCUCUAGAUGAAGGAAAAGACCAUCCUUACUAUGCGCUAGUCUCUCAAAUGCCUUAUGCUGCUUGACCUGGGUGGAUGUUUGUUGGAGCUUUAACGAGCAUCGCCUCGCAAACUUUCAAAGUUUUUGGUCCUUCCUCUAUAAAAUUUGCUCAUCGACUCUUCU